AAACUCUCCUUGUACUUUGCUCUGUGUGUGUUUGGUGGAAAUAUUAUUUUUAAACAGCCAUUUACUCUGAAAAAAUAUGAUUUUGCAUUAAAUUAGUUUUAAAGUUAAGGGAUAUAUAUAAGACCUUUUUAUUAACAAGUUGAUGAGAUGAGCAUUAGUAUACCUAUAGGAAGUUUUUGAAUGAGUGCCAAUUCUGAAUUUACAAAUCAACAUUUCUUCUCUCCAGCUUUCUUUAGCUUGCCCAUGGUGAUGUGAAGAUGAGAAGAAAUAGCAAGGCCCAACCAGUUCUUCAUCUGGAGACAGUUCAACGUUCUGCAAACCAGAUCUUCAGGAAUUUUACUGGGAUAAUUAUCCAAAUAAAUUGCAAGCAUUCUAUCCAAAUGGAGCUCUUUCUGAGAUGAAGAGAAUUCUCAAUGUCAAGAUUUGAACAAGAAGAGAAUGGAAUACACAAUAUGGACAUCCAUAAAAAUUCAUCAGAGAGCAUUUUACUACUGAGCUGCAAAGGGAAAAACUUAAAAUGGAUAUGAAAAGUGAAGAAAGUGAUCAUAGGAGAAAACCAUUUCAGGUGUCUGAUGAUUUGUGAGCCUCAAGUGACUACUCUGUGGAAUCAUCUGUCCUUGCCUUUGAAUUAGCUUUCCCUAGGCCAUGAGUCAACAUUAGUAGUUUAUACAUCCAAAUUGGUAGGUCUUUAUGAAAUUCUUCUAUGUAUUCGUUCUAGACAUAUAAGUGAAGUAUAAGAAAUUAUAGAUUUACAUUGUGGUUGUUUUUACAGCUUCUGGACAUCUUUGAGAAAAUACUUGGGUGGCAUUGAAACACUAGCCAAUGGAAGCAUUUGAUUUUGUAGAAUUUUGAAAUGUAGUGCCUUACUCAUAGUACACUUCCUAGUCUUGGGGGUGGGAAGACCAGUCUGUAGCUAACUUAUUACUGUCUUAUACAUCAUGCUAAAGCCCAGCCUGGGCAUUUGUAAACCUCGGGGAGGUUUCUACUUUAGACAACAGUUUUUGUUGAGGGAUUACACCACAGUCAGUUCCCUCCAUUUCUCCCUCUCUUCCUGGCCCCCCUCCCACCCAACAUGGAGCCUUUUCAACUCUUCAAAGAAGUGGGAAAAAAAAGUAGACUCUUUAUUAAUGGCAGAAAACAAACUGGCUGCUGUACUUCCGAGGCAGCUCUCUAAUAAUAAAGCAGAGUAGGCACUGCAACAAAGAAUUCUUGAAUGUACUAAAUAUAUAGGGAAGCCUAUUUAAAUUCACCAGAGGGGCUUAGAGGACAAGCAGCAGAAAGUUUAGAAUUCAAUUCAAGCCAUGCCAGAAAAUGAAAAUGUACUUAAAAAAGGAUUUCUGAAACAAUUGUUCAAAGAAAUGUCAACUUUUAAGGUUCUUUCUAGAAGAAUGAAAUUUGUACUCUAAUUUAUGUGGUGACUUUUUCAAUUAGAGAGGAAAAGUGAUUAACAGAAUC
rnacentral:lncRNA from 10 species